rnacentral:rRNA from 1 species
AGUGAACGCUGGCGGCGUGCCUAAUACAUGCAAGUCGAACGGAAUUUAAAAGAGCUUGCUCUUUUAAAUUUAGUGGCGCACGGGUGAGUAAUAUAUAGCUAAUCUGCCCCUUGCUGGAGGACAACAGUUAGAAAUGACUGCUAAUACUCCAUACUCCUUUUUACCAUAAGAUAAAUCGGGAAAGAAUUUCGGCAAGGGAUGAGACUAUAUCGUAUCAGCUAGUCGGUGGGGUAACGGCCUACCGAGGCUAUGACGCGUAACUGGUCUGAGAGGAUGAUCAGUCACAUUGGAACUGAGACACGGUCCAAACUCCUACGGGAGGCAGCAGUAGGGAAUAUUGCGCAAUGGGGGAAACCCUGACGCAGCAACGCCGCGUGGAGGAUGACACUUUUCGGAGCGUAAACUCCCUUUGUUAGGGAAAGA